rnacentral:rRNA from 1 species
ACUCAAAUGAAUAGACGGGGGCCCGCACAAGCGGUGGAGCAUGUGGUUUAAUUCGACGCAACGCGAAGAACCUUACCCAGGCUUGAACUGCAGGUGACAUCCUACGAAAGUAGGCUUCCGCAAGGACACCUGUAGAGGUGCUGCAUGGCUGUCGUCAGCUCGUGUCGUGAGAUGUUGGGUUAAGUCCCGCAACGAGCGCAACCCUUGUCUUCUGUUGCCAUCGGGUCAAGCCGGGCACUCUGAAGAGACUGCCGGUGACAAACCGGAGGAAGGUGGGGAUGACGUCAAGUCAGCAUGGCCUUUAUGUCUGGGGCCACACACGUGCUACAAUGGCCGGUACAAACCGUCGCAAACUCGCAAGGGUGAGCUAAUCGGAGAAAGCCGGUCUCAGUUCGGAUUGUCGGCUGCAACUCGCCGGCAUGAAGUUGGAAUCGCUAGUAAUCGCGGAUCAGCACGCCGCGGUGAAUACGUUCCCGGGCCUUGCACACACCGCCCGU